rnacentral:rRNA from 1 species
AUUGAACGCUAGCGGGAUGCUUUACACAUGCAAGUCGAACGAGUGGCGGACGGGUUAGCUAUAUAUCGGAACGUGCCCAGUAGCGGGGGAUAACUACUGGAAACAGUGGCUAAUUCCGCACACUAUUGGAUCGGCCGGUAUCGGAUUAGCUAGUUGGUGGGGUAAAGGCUAACCAAGGCAACGAUCCGUAGCUGGUUUGAGAGGACGACCAGUCACACUGGGACUGAGACACGGUCCAGACUCCUACGGGAGGCAGCAGUGGGGAAUUUUGGACAAUGGGCGAAACCCUGAUCCAGCCAUCCCGCGUGUAUGAGAAGGCCUUCGGGUUGUAAAGUACUUUUAGCAGGGAAGCGGUAUCUGCAGAAUAAGCACCGGCUAACUACGUGCCAGCAGCCGCGGUAAUUC